rnacentral:rRNA from 1 species
UACGUAGGGGGCUAGCGUUGCUCGGAAUCACUGGGCGUAAAGCGCACGUAGGCGGCUCUUUAAGUCAGGGGUGAAAUCCUGGAGCUCAACUCCAGAACUGCCUUUGAUACUGGGGAUCUCGAGUCCGGGAGAGGUGAGUGGAACUGCGAGUGUAGAGGUGAAAUGCGUAGAUAUUCGCAAGAACACCAGUGGCGAAGGCGGCUCACUGGCCCGGUACUGACGCUGAGGUGCGAAAGCGUGGGGAGCAAACAGG